GACGAACGCUGGCGGCGUGCUUAACACAUGCAAGUCGAACGAUGAAGCCGGAGCUUGCUCUGGUGAAUUAGUGGCGAACGGGUGAGUAACACGUGAGUAACCUGCCCUUGACUCUGGGAUAACUGCGGGAAACUGUAGCUAAUACCGGAUACGACCCUCGGAGGCAUCUCCUGGGGGUGGAAAGAAUUUCGGUCAAGGAUGGACUCGCGGCCUAUCAGCUAGUUGGUGAGGUAAAGGCUCACCAAGGCGACGACGGGUAGCCGGCCUGAGAGGGUGACCGGCCACACGGGGACUGAGACACGGCCCAGACUCCUACGGGAGGCAGCAGUGGGGAAUAUUGCGCAAUGGGCGAAAGCCUGACGCAGCGACGCCGCGUGAGGGAUGAAGGUCUUCGGAUCGUAAACCUCUUUCAGUAGGGACGAAGCGAAAGUGACGGUACCUAAAGAAGAAGCACCGGCUAACUACGUGCCAGCAGCCGCCGUAA
rnacentral:rRNA from 1 species